CAAAUAAGUGUUUGUCCUAUCGUCACAACUUGAGUCAAAAUACUCCAUUUCGCUUACUAAUCCCUGGGCCCCC
rnacentral:rRNA from 1 species